GAGGGUAUAGCUCAGUGAGAGCACAUGUUUAGCAUGCACAAGGUCUUGGGUUCAAUCCCCUGUACCUCCA
rfam:Camelus ferus unplaced genomic scaffold scaffold4962, whole genome shotgun sequence.